CUCUCCUCACCUCUGAUCCCCUUCACAUCGGCUGUUCCCCUUCACAUCUGAUUUCAAUCUAAGCGUGGAACUACUCGGUGGGCUUCUGGCGAGAGAGAUGGCAGGGGAGGACGGUGGAAUUGUCCCAUGCAAUGCAAGAGUCCACGUCAAUGGCGUUACCGGGGACUACAUGCUUUUUGAAGCCUAUGGACGCAAGUACUCUGUUGACAUUGUGAAGGGGGCACACAGGACCAGGAUCAAAGGGAGUGGCUGGAAGAAAUUUACUUCUGACUUUUCACUUCGGAAGGGUGCUGUCGUUAUUUUUGACAUGGACAAGCGUCCCCGACAGGCAUAUGCUGUUGUUCACAUUGUUGACUCGGACACAGUUGAAGGAAGCACUUCAGACGGUGAUGCUAAAGAAGAGAUGAUAGAUGGAGACAUGUCAGAUGUGGAUGAAGACGGUGACAACAUAAAGAUCGAGUAUACAAGGGGUCUAACUCUGAAUGAUGCAUAGUAGGACUUUCUCAAUGAACUUGUGCUCAGCUUCAAGUCCAAGUUUUUAGGAGUGUCUUUUGUACACUGUCUUACUACAACCGACACUCAAGUUGGACAAAUGAAAGUGCCAGAGAGGGUUGCUACAAGCUUGAACAUCCCUAAAGAAGGGCUGGCUGGGGUUCGUCUAAGCAGUGGGGAGGCAAAGACUCGCGUUGAAUACAACACGUCUACUGAUGGACGUAUAGCCUUCAACAAAAAACAAUGGAGGCGUUUCCUUUCAAAGACUCCCUUGGAGACCAAUGACUGCAUCUUCAUGUUCUUCAAGGCCAGUAGCAAGUCUUGCAUGAACGUUACCGUUGUUGUCAGCAAGCUUUAAGUUUCACUUUCUUUUCGAGGAGAUAUGUUCCUAGUUAUGUAGUAUGCUGAUGCAAAACAUUGCUACCCGUCUUUUGUUUAUGCGCUUGACAAGAACUAAGUAAACCCCCCUCCUCGUUUUACGAUGUUUUACUAUUUAUGUGUGUUUUCAAAACUAUGUGGAAUAUGCAUUUGUCGUAAUGAUAAGUGUUGUUAUAUAUUUUUCAUCAGUAUGUUUUUUAGGAGUAAAUAACGAGAAUUGUGCAAGCAAGAUUCAUAAGUUCAUUAAAUUUUCAUUGCUUUUUUUUGCAGGCACUAACCUGAGAACCAAACAGAGAAGCUCCAUAAGCAUCAAAAAUUGCUGCAAUCAAGGUCAAUACUUUUUUUGUCAGGUAUAUGAAGGAUGCAACACCUACAGAGAAAGCUCCAUGUCUUUUUAUCAGCAAAUUUCUUUUUUUGUGUUUCCUUUUGUGAUUUUUCAUAACAGUAACACUGAAGAAUCAAAGUUCAAGAUAGUUCAAGAACAGAAAGAAGAAACCUAGAUCUGGAGGGGGGAG